AUGACAUGUUCAGGAAGUGAUGACACGGUCACACAGGGUGGUGAUAUGGUGAAAUAUGGACAGAAAGUGAUGACAGUUCAGGAAGUGAUGACAUGGUCACAGGGUGGUGAUAUGGACAGAAAGUGAUGACA